rnacentral:tRNA from 1 species
UUUGCGAAGCAAAAAAAGAGUUAAGUAUUUGAUAUAAUUGAAAUUCGCGCCGGACUUGUAAUCAGGGGGUGGCGGGUUCAAGUCCUGCAGCCAGCACCA